GUGAACCUUUACUAUAGCUUGACACUGAACAUUGAGCCUUGAUGUGUAGGAUAGGUGGGAGGCUUUGAAGCGCGGACGCCAGUCUGCGUGGAGCCAACCUUGAAAUACCACCCUUUAAUGUUUGAUGUUCUAACGUAGGCCCCUAAUCCGGGUUGCGGACAGUGUCUGGUGGGUAGUUUGACUGGGGCGGUCUCCUCCCAAAGAGUAACGGAGGAGCACGAAGGUUAGCUAAUCCUGGUCGGACAUCAGGAGGUUAGUGCAAUGGCAUAAGCUAGCUUGACUGCGAGCGUGACGGCGCGAGCAGGUGCGAAAGCAGGUCAUAGUGAUCCGGUGGUUCUGAAUGGAAGGGCCAUCGCUCAACGGAUAAAAGGUACUCCGGGGAUAACAGGCUGAUACCGCCCAAGAGUUCAUAUCGACGGCGGUGUUUGGCACCUCGAUGUCGGCUCAUCACAUCCUGGGGCUGAAGUAGGUCCCAAGGGUAUGGCUGUUCGCCAUUUAAAGUGGUACGCGAGCUGGGUUUAGAACGUCGUGAGACAGUUCGGUCCCUAUCUGCCGUGGGCGCUGGAGAAUUGAGGGGGGCUGCUCCUAGUACGAGAGGACCGGAGUGGACGCAUCACUGGUGUUCGGGUUGUCAUGCCAAUGGCACUGCCCGGUAGCUAAAUGCGGAAGAGAUAAGUGCUGAAAGCAUCUAAGCACGAAACUUGCCCCGAGAUGAGUUCUCCCUGAGACUAUAAGUCUCCUGAAGGAACGUUGAAGACGACGACGUUGAUAGGCCGGGUGUGUAAGCGCAGCGAUGCGUUGAGCUAACCGGUACUAAUGAACCGUGAGGCUUAACCUU
rnacentral:rRNA from 1 species